ACUCUUCUCUCCUUUCUUCCAUACAUCUCCUCAUAACUCUAUUUAUAAAUGGCCUUCGCAAAACCAAAUUAACACAGUAAAAAGCUUAACCAUGUGGUGCCCAGCACAAUAAGAUCUGGAAGGUCUGUCGUUAUUGGAUGCCGAGGAUGUAUUUCCAUGUCCUGUGCCUCAUCAGCAGCUUCAACUCUGGAGAGAUAACAGUGGGGUUGAUGUAGAAAUCUUGCCUAAAUGCUCCCUACCAUGAAUGACCACAUGUUCCAGCAUGGUAUGCCAAGGAUCCCUUUGCAAUGUAACUCUACUCCUCCCUCCAUCAAGAAGUAGGGUCUAUUUCUCCACCCCUUGAAUCAGUCUGGUCUUGUGACUUGCUUUCAUCAAUAAAAUGUUGCAGAAGUGAAGUCUGAAAGCCCUGCUUGGAGAAAACAUGUAGCUUCUACUUUCAAUCUUGGAAUCCAGUCUCCACAAAAAGAAGUCCAGGCUAGCCUGCGGAGACAGAGAACAUGUGGAGAGAAAGAUCAUAGUGAAUGAACUACCAUAUGGAGAGUGAAGCCACAUGGAAGAGAACCACAUUGCCCCAGUUUGACAGUAACAGCAAAGCUCCAUUUAUUGAGAAUGAAGCAAUCUUUGAUCUCUUAGCCCUAAUCAAGUCACCCCAGCUGACAUCACAUGGAGUAGAGACAAGCCAUCCCCACUGAGCCCCAAAUAUCCAACCAA
rnacentral:lncRNA from 1 species